UACGUAGGGUGCAAGCGUUAAUCGGAAUUACUGGGCGUAAAGCGUGCGCAGGCGGUUUUGUAAGACAGAGGUGAAAUCCCCGGGCUCAACCUGGGAACUGCCUUUGUGACUGCAAGGCUUGAGUGCGGCGAGAGGGGGGAUGGGAAUUCCGCGUGUAGCAGUGAAAUGCGUAGAUAUGCGGAGGAACACCGAUGGCGAAGGGCAAUCCCCCUGGGCCUGCACUGACGCUCAUGCACGAAAGCGUGGGGAGCAAACAGG
rnacentral:rRNA from 1 species